ensembl:snRNA U1 U1 spliceosomal RNA
ACACUUAUCUGGCAGUGGAGAUACCCUGAUCAUGAAGAUGUUUUUCCCAGGGUGAGGCUUACCCACUGCACUGCAGAUGUGCUGACCCCUGCACUUUCCCCAGAUGCAGGAAACGCAACUGCAUAAUUUGUGGUAGAGGGGACUUCGUUCAUGCUUCCCCUGU